GGGGGAGACCCCUGGUAGACUCUCUCCGGGUAGGCUGUGUGCUUCAGAGCUGGGUAACUAGCUCUCGGAAAAGAUCCUCUCACACUUGGUUUGGCGGAAGGGAGUGUGGAUUUCCAGCGUCCUGGGAAGCCCUACACCACUUUGAUGGCAUCAUGCAAGCAUCAUCCCAGUACAAUUUGUGUGGUGAUGAGAAUCUGGAGAUGCAUUUUGUGGACUUGCAAAGACGGAGUGGGUUGGCUCCACCAGUGAACUGGACAGCUGCUGUUCAGAAUUACAUUUCCAUGAAAAACAUAUCUGGAGUGUAGAAUACAUUGCCCCACCAGCCCCCCAGAACCUUUUGUGUGUACAAGUUUCCAAUGUAGGUUGAAUAUUAUUUAGAAUGCUGCAAUUCUGAGUAGAUAAGUCCAGUGAAAUAUUCAGCUUGUAUCUUUGCAUAAGUCAUUAGACUGAAACCUUUCUUUGUUUAAAUAAACAUACAGCAUAUUCAUGUAUUUUGUAAAACAUGUUUAGUGUUACAUCCGUGUUAUCAGUUGAAUGGUCGAUUGUCAGAAAAUUAUACACCUAAUAUUUUGGUAAUUGAUUUUAAUUGUGUUUUGAAUAUAAGCAGGUUCCAGCCUCUAAAAUGUGAAUAUUUGCUGGAUUCAUUUGUUCUCUGUGAGGCUUCACUUUCUGACAUUUUAAAGACCAAGGCGUGUCCGAAAUCACUCUCAUUCACACUAUAGGGAAUUCUAUAUAGUGAGUAGUGAGUGAUUUCAGACACAGCUCAUAACAAAUUGAUGAAUCAACAAUAACAUUCAUUCAUUGCAUCAGUCACAUAUGCUACUGUUAUUUCUGUUUUCACAGUGGAUCUGAGAAUACAAUCUUGUGAACCAGC